rnacentral:rRNA from 1 species
GGUGCUAAUACCGCAUAAGCGCACAGCUUCGCAUGAAGGAGUGUGAAAAACUAAGGUGGUAUAUGAUGGAUCCGCGUCUGAUUAGCCAGUUGGUGAGGUAACGGCUCACCAAAGCGACGAUCAGUAGCCGGCCUGAGAGGGCGGACGGCCACAUUGGGACUGAGACACGGCCCAGACUCCUGCGGGAGGCAGCAGUGGGGGAUAUUGCACAAUGGGGGAAACCCUGAUGCAGCGACGCCGCGUGAGUGAAGAAGUAAUUCGUUACGUAAAGCUCUAUCAGCAGGGAAGAAAAUGACGGUACCUGACUAAGAAGCCCCGGCUAACUACGUGCCAGCAGCCGCGGUAAUACGUAGGGGGCAAGCGUUAUCCGGAAUUACUGGGUGUAAAGGGAGCGCAGACGGCAGUGCAAGUCUGGAGUGAAAGCCCGUGGCUUAACUACGGGACUGCUUUGGAAACUGUGCAGCUAGAGUGCAGGAGAGGCAGGCGGAAUUCCUAGUGUAGCGGUGAAAUGCGUAGAUAUUAGGAGGAACACCGGUGGCGAAGGCGGCCUGCUGGACUGUAACUGACGUUGAGGCUCGAAAGCGUGGGGAGCAAACAGGAUUAGAUACCCUGGUAGUCCACGCCGUAAACGAU